rnacentral:rRNA from 1 species
AUUGAACGCUGGCGGCAUGCUUUACACAUGCAAGUCGAACGGCAGCGCGGGCUUCGGCCUGGCGGCGAGUGGCGAACGGGUGAGUAAUGCAUCGGAACGUGCCCCGUAGUGGGGGAUAGCCCGGCGAAAGCCGGAUUAAUACCGCAUACGACCUGAGGGUGAAAGCGGGGGACCGAAAGGCCUCGCGCUAUUGGAGCGGCCGAUGUCGGAUUAGCUAGUUGGUGGGGUAAAGGCUUACCAAGGCGACGAUCCGUAGCUGGUCUGAGAGGACGACCAGCCACACUGGGACUGAGACACGGCCCAGACUCCUACGGGAGGCAGCAGUGGGGAAUUUUGGACAAUGGGGGCAACCCUGAUCCAGCCAUGCCGCGUGCGGGAAGAAGGCCUUCGGGUUGUAAACCGCUUUUGUUCGGGAAGAAAUCCUCUGGGCUAAUACCCCGGGGGGAUGACGGUACCGGAAGAAUAAGCACCGGCUAACUACGUG